GCCCUCUCUGACCCAUGUAGCCUCUGCUGGUUAGUUUCUGGAAACGUCUGCCCUCCAUACAACCAGGAGUAAUUGCAUGUUCUAAGCUGAGUCCUGGGAAGGUAAUUUUGGAUUGCAUAGGGGGUGUAUAUGCAGGCCGAGUUAGCCAGCGCCCUUUGUGUCUUGCACCUCCUUCAAAACUCAGCGUGUGCUGGCUGCGUUGAUGACAUCUGAUCGAGGGCCUCUGCCUACAGCCGGCGUGAGCCUGUCUCCUCACACUGCAGUCUGUGGGCUCAGUGUUGUGUGUGACUUCAGACCUUCCAGGUAUGUCCCUGCCUUUUCCUGUGUCAUGUUGAAUUACCUGGCGUAACCCUCAUGAGCUUGCAGAUCUCUCCCUUAUCCUCUGAAACCUGCUUUGUCUUUUCAGGAUGUAAAAUCUGUUAAAUUUCCUGGUGUCCACAUGAUGAAUGAUGAGUGUUUGUGACUUAACUGGAGGAAACAAAGGCAGUCCGGCUUUAGCAGGAUGUGGGUGGCUGCUGUUGGAGAAUUAGAAAUGGAAACGAACAGAAAUGGGGGGCUGACAGUCUAUGCUGAGGACACCUGCAACUUCACGGGCAGAGGUGGGUGGUGUUGGCACAAGGGGCUCUGGAAGGCUGCUGGCUGGGGGCACCAGACUCCCAGGCUUGGAAAGCUGAUGAUGGGCUUGAAUGAAGGUUGCCCCCUUUACCCUGCUCUUAUGCUAAAUACCCAGCUCCCAGGCUGGAGAAAAUAACUUGAAGAAAUACUAGUAGAUUGGAAAGCAUGAUAACCACUGUUUUUCUAAAUCAGGCAAUUCUCAGGACCUUCCAAACACUCCCCAUCCAUGGCCUUGCUGGCAGACCACCCUGCUCCCGCUCUCCCGAGCACUCUUUCCAGACCACCACUUGCAAUGCGAGACCAGAAGUUACUGUCACGUCAGCCACGGUACUGAAUCCCCAGGGCUUUACUCCUCUCAAGACCUUGCAGAUUUUCCCUCUAAUUGCGUUCUGCUCCCCGGCACUGAUGGGGACCAGCACAACUUGAUUUCCUACUAACCUAUAGAUGCUCUAAUUAUCUCCGCAGUCUGAGACCCACAGUGAUCUUGUUACCUGCUAAUGGAACAUGACAAGUGAAAGCUGGAAUAUGAUGAUGCAAUAAUUACCAUUUCCAGAUGGACAUUCACAACAGCGCUGGCUGUUGAUCCUCUCUCCGCCUCAAUCAAGGUGGAGGAGAGGAAAUGCGACGUGACUGUCGAUGUCAUAUACAAACAGCGUAAAAAGACGCUGUCCUUAGCUAUACCGAGGUGGAUAACCAAGGUGUGUGUUUACCUGUCCUGAGGNNNNNNNNNNNNNNNNNNNNNNNNNNNNNNNNNNNNNNNNNNNNNNNNNNNNNNNNNNNNNNNNNNNNNNNNNNNNNNNNNNNNNNNNNNNNNNNNNNNCGAGGUGGAUAACCAAGGUGUGUGUUUACCUGUCCUGAGGCACAAACCUGGCCUAAGUGCCAUUAAAUCAGCUAAAGAAAAGAUGACCAAAGUGAUGUGGGCUUUUUCACAUACUAUUUUUAAAACUUUGUCUUCUCUAAAAAAAUAUAUGUAUGACUUUUUGAGCAAUUUCUUAGACAUGGAGAGUUUCCUUUCAAGAGGACAUAGGUAUUUAUCAGAUAGAAAAUAAUAUCAAAGACAAUUCUGUGUGAUGAAAUUGCUGAAAAGUACAAAGCUAGUUCUCACACCAGACGGAACCUCCAAUGAGGACCUUAAACCCGCAGCCUGGUUUAAGCCACCCUCCUGGCUUCUGUUCUCAGUGACGUUAAAAUCACAGCUUCUCUGGAACUGUUUCUGUAAAAUGAGACCAUCUGAAUAAAUCAAGACCUAAAAGCAGGCAGGUUUUGGUACACAGGUUCUGGGGCCGGUGGAGCUGGUAUAGAGAACAGAGAGAUCAAGUCACUUUUGCUUUUUACCACCUCAGCUCCAGUGUCAUGAGGCUUCUUUGUUAAAGAUCUGCAGACAUGCAAUCCCAGGGUUUCUGACUCAGGCCUGAGUGUUUCUCGCCUGGUCGGGGCGGGCAGGGUCUGGCUGGAGCAUCUGGGAUGUUGGCACAUUCAGGCUCCCACCUACUGCCCUACCCACAACGUCUGCCGAUCCCCUGCCGCAGAUGACAUGGGGUUCGACCUCUGAGCAGGUGUUUGGAGAUGCAUUGUGGCCAGGAAGAGCCCUGGGCCACAAGCCUUCAGGGCCCCUGCCCUCAGCCAGCCCUGGGCCUGUUUCCUUAGGGGUCACUUCAAUGAGUUGGCUUGCAGCUUCUUCGAACUGUUUGGACUCUGUCUCUCUCUUGGGCCUCUGGUUACUCUUUUCUUUUUAAUUCUCUCAAAAAUAUCUACAAAUAAUAAAUGCUGGAGAGGGUGUGGAGAAAAGGGAAC
rnacentral:lncRNA from 1 species